rnacentral:rRNA from 1 species
AUUGAACGCUGGCGGCAGGCCUAACACAUGCAAGUCGAGCGGCAGCGGGAAAGUAGCUUGCUACUUUUGCCGGCGAGCGGCGGACGGGUGAGUAAUGCCUGGGAAAUUGCCCAGUCGAGGGGGAUAACAGUUGGAAACGACUGCUAAUACCGCAUACGCCCUACGGGGGAAAGCAGGGGACCUUCGGGCCUUGCGCGAUUGGAUAUGCCCAGGUGGGAUUAGCUAGUUGGUGAGGUAAUGGCUCACCAAGGCGACGAUCCCUAGCUGGUCUGAGAGGAUGAUCAGCCACACUGGAACUGAGACACGGUCCAGACUCCUACGGGAGGCAGCAGUGGGGAAUAUUGCACAAUGGGGGAAACCCUGAUGCAGCCACGCCGCGUGUGUGAAGAAGGCCUUCGGGUUGUAAAGCACUUUCAGCGAGGAGGAAAGGUCAGUAGCUAAUAUCUGCUGACUGUGACGUUACUCGCAGAAGAAGCACCGGCCAACUCCGUGCCAGCAGCCGCGGUAAUAC